rnacentral:lncRNA from 1 species
UCACUAACGCUUGCCUGGGGAAUCCCUCUGCCUUCUCUCCAGGUAACGACCAGACUCCAGUCCUGUACCUCAACGCUUCCAGUGCCAAGGAGGGGGAAAUAAUUCUCUUUCAGUGUGCCAUUGAUUGGCAGUUUCCUGCUACACGAGUUGUCUUCUGCAAGAAUGGGCAGGAGGAGUUCAGUCUGAAAGCCCAGCAGGGCAAGGUCACCUAUACUCUGGUCCUGAACAUCACCUCCAGAAAUGCUGGGACGUACAAGUGUGGGUACCAGCAGAGGAACGAGGGCAACUGGGUGAGGAACUCUGCUCUCAGUGCUCCCCAGACCCUGUCUGUACCAGUGAGUCCAGCUCCUCAGCAAGGCCGUUGCCCCCAGGCAGUGUGUCCAACUCCCCAGCAGGGCCAUCACACCCGGCUCCACAUUCUCGGAUCCCACACGCCCUCGCCACAGGCACAGCGCUGGCAGUGGCAGCCGUCGGCCUCGUCCUCCUGGCUGCAGGCAGCUGGUUUGCCAUCAGGAAAGGUGCCUGCAGAGCGAGAUGCCCAAGGCAGCAGCACGUUGACAGCCCACAAGAAGAAGACACCAACAACGACAAUAUUCAGUACUCCACCAUCGCCCACGUUCGACGGGACAGGGAUCACAAUCCAGAUCAGAGGAGGAAGAAAUACCUUGCAAAGCAUCUCACCCUUCUGUCGGUACGAACAUUUCCCAAAGCUGCGAAACCAGAGAAUGCAGGUGGGCUGGGACGACAAGCUCAGGCCAAGUGUAAUUAAAGCUGGACACAAAAAAUAGAAAAUCCACAGGGGAGUUUUUCAGAUGGCAGCUGUGAGAAAAAUGAGAUUUGCGCUUGGGGAUUUCCUGUGUAAUGAAGGGGGCUGCUGCAUGCAGGGUUGUUUCAGGGAAAAAAAAAAAAAAAGAAAAAAGAAAAAAAAAAAAAGGAGAAAAAAGUCCCUGCUGUGGGACUACAACGAGGUCCAGGCUCACAGAGCACCCACAGCAGGAUGCUGGGGAGGUCAGGAUGGGACUUCUGACCACCCAAAGUGUCCCACAGCAUCUUGUCCUGAGGACGGACAAGCUAUGUUAUCUUUUGGUGGUUGGAUUUCAAAAAAAUAAAAAUAACUCUUUAUGUGGCA